GCGUUGGGGGGUGCUAUACAUGCAAGUCGAGCGGACAGAUGGGAGCUUGCUCCCUGAUGUUAGCGGCGGACGGGUGAGUAACACGUGGGUAACCUGCCUGUAAGACUGGGAUAACUCCGGGAAACCGGGGCUAAUACCGGAUGGUUGUUUGAACCGCAUGGUUCAGACAUAAAAGGUGGCUUCGGCUACCACUUACAGAUGGACCCGCGGCGCAUUAGCUAGUUGGUGAGGUAACGGCUCACCAAGGCGACGAUGCGUAGCCGACCUGAGAGGGUGAUCGGCCACACUGGGACUGAGACACGGCCCAGACUCCUACGGGAGGCAGCAGUAGGGAAUCUUCCGCAAUGGACGAAAGUCUGACGGAGCAACGCCGCGUGAGUGAUGAAGGUUUUCGGAUCGUAAAGCUCUGUUGUUAGGGAAGAACAAGUGCCGUUCAAAUAGGGCGGCACCUUGACGGUACCUAACCAGAAAGCCACGGCUAACUACGUGCCAGCAGCCGCGGUAAUACGUAGGUGGCAAGCGUUGUCCGGAAUUAUUGGGCGUAAAGGGCUCGCAGGCGGUUUCUUAAGUCUGAUGUGAAAGCCCCCGGCUCAACCGGGGAGGGUCAUUGGAAACUGGGGAACUUGAGUGCAGAAGAGGAGAGUGGAAUUCCACGUGUAGCGGUGAAAUGCGUAGAGAUGUGGAGGAACACCAGUGGCGAAGGCGACUCUCUGGUCUGUAACUGACGCUGAGGAGCGAAAGCGUGGGGAGCGAACAGGAUUAGAUACCCUGGUAGUCCACGCCGUAAACGAUGAGUGCUAAGUGUUAGGGGGUUUCCGCCCCUUAGUGCUGCAGCUAACGCAUUAAGCACUCCGCCUGGGGAGUACGGUCGCAAGACUGAAACUCAAAGGAAUUGACGGGGGCCCGCACAAGCGGUGGAGCAUGUGGUUUAAUUCGAAGCAACGCGAAGAACCUUACCAGGUCUUGACAUCCUCUGACAAUCCUAGAGAUAGGACGUCCCCUUCGGGGGCAGAGUGACAGGUGGUGCAUGGUUGUCGUCAGCUCGUGUCGUGAGAUGUUGGGUUAAGUCCCGCAACGAGCGCAACCCUUGAUCUUAGUUGCCAGCAUUCAGUUGGGCACUCUAAGGUGACUGCCGGUGACAAACCGGAGGAAGGUGGGGAUGACGUCAAAUCAUCAUGCCCCUUAUGACCUGGGCUACCAC
rnacentral:rRNA from 1 species